UGCAUAACCUUAAACUAUAAUAAAAAUAUUACAUUUUUAUUCGCCAGGGAACUACGAGCAUAAGCUUAAAACCCAAAGGACUUGGCGGUGCUUUAGACCCACCUAGAGGAGCCUGUUCUAUAACCGAUAACCCCCGUUAAACCUCACCUUUUCUUGUUAUUUCCGCCUAUAUACCGCCGUCGUCAGCUUACCCUGUGAAGGUACUUCAGUAAGCAAAAUCGAUUAUAUCCAAAACGCCAGGUCGAGGUGUAGCAUAUGAAAAGGAAAGAAAUGGGUUACAUUUUCUAAUAAAGAAAACAACGGAAAUUGCCAUGAAACAGUACAUUCAAGGAGGAUUUAGCAGUAAGCAGAGAAUAGAGAGCUCUACUGAAACUGGCCCUGAAGC
rnacentral:rRNA from 1 species